rnacentral:rRNA from 1 species
AUUGAACGCUGGCGGCAUGCCUUACACAUGCAAGUCGAACGGUAACAGAUCUUCGGAUGCUGACGAGUGGCGAACGGGUGAGUAAUACAUCGGAACGUGCCUAGUAGUGGGGGAUAACUACUCGAAAGAGUGGCUAAUACCGCAUGAGAUCUACGGAUGAAAGCAGGGGAUCGCAAGACCUUGUGCUACUAGAGCGGCCGAUGGCAGAUUAGGUAGUUGGUGGGAUAAAAGCUUACCAAGCCGACGAUCUGUAGCUGGUCUGAGAGGACGAUCAGCCACACUGGGACUGAGACACGGCCCAGACUCCGACGGGAGGCAGCAGUGGGGAAUUUUGGACAAUGGGCGCAAGCCUGAUCCAGCAAUGCCGCGUGCAGGAUGAAGGCCUUCGGGUUGUAAACUGCUUUUGUACGGAACGAAAAGCCCUGGGUUAAUACCCUGGGGUCAUGACGGUACCGUAAGAAUAAGCACCGGCUAACUACGUGCCAGCCGCCGCCGUAAUAC